rnacentral:rRNA from 1 species
GACGAACCGUCCAAACGUUAUUCGGAAUUACUGGGCUUAAAGGGUGCGUAGGCGGCGCGGAAAGUUGGGUGUGAAAUCCCUCGGCUCAACCGAGGAACUGCGCCCAAUACUACCGUGCUCGAGGGAGAUAGAGGUGAGCGGAACUUAGGGUGGAGCGGUGAAAUGCGUAGAUAUCUGGAGGAACACCGGUGGCGAAGGCGGCGUUCUGGACUGUUACUGACACUGAGGAACGAAAGCCAGGGGAGCAAACGGG